UCCAACGUUUAAUCAUUCGUCUUAUUUGAAACUUUUUUGUGAUUAAUAUUUUUAUUGUUACUGGAUGACAAAAUAUAAAUAAUAUUUUAUAUAUAACUAAUUUUUUAAGUAUAUAUACAAAUUUUUUAAAUAAGACGAAUGGUCAAACGUUGAACACGAAAA
rnacentral:pre_miRNA from 1 species